GGGGAUGCACUGGAUUCGACGGAGUGGCUCGAAUCGAAAGCUGCAUGUCGAGUUUGCUAUUCGGCACUCGUUAAAGAACGAAUGGAUACCGUAAUUGGCAACAAUUACAAUUACAGCAUGGCUGCAUAGUCAGCCGUGUCGUUCCCUCGGGAUUUGCCUGUCGGUCCCGGCGGAGCGCCGACUUAAGGCAGGAUAGCAUGUGACGUCGUCCGGGCGUCACGUGUGAGAUCAACUCCGGUCUAGUCUGGUGACGCCGGUCACAGGGCAAACCACCAGGCGAAUAAAAGAUACUGUGAAUAAACAUGUAGAUGCUUUCAGGUUCCCCUCUCCGGACCCGGGUUCGAUUCCCGGCAUCUCCACU
rnacentral:tmRNA from 1 species